AUUUAUAUAGUUUAAUAAAACAUUUCAUUUUCAGUGAAAAAUUAGAGUAACUCAUUCUUAUAAAUA
rnacentral:tRNA from 1 species